rnacentral:rRNA from 1 species
UGGGGAAUUUUGGACAAUGGGCGAAAGCCUGAUCCAGCAAUGCCGCGUGUGUGAAGAAGGCCUUCGGGUUGUAAAGCACUUUUGUCCGGAAAGAAAUCCUUGGCUCUAAUACAGUCGGGGGAUGACGGUACCGGAAGAAUAAGCACCGGCUAACUACGUGCCAGCAGCCGCGGUAAUACGUAGGGUGCAAGCGUUAAUCGGAAUUACUGGGCGUAAAGCGUGCGCAGGCGGUUUGCUAAGACCGAUGUGAAAUCCCCGGGCUCAACCUGGGGAAACUGCAUUGGUGACUGGCAGGCUAGAGUAUGGCAGAGGGGGGUAGAAUUCCACGUGUAGCAGUGAAAUGCGUAGAGAUGUGGAGGAAUACCGAUGGCGAAGGCAGCCCCCUGGGCCAAUACUGACGCUCAUGCACGAAAGCGUGGGGAGCAAAACAGGAUUAGAUACCCUGGUAGUCCACGCCCUAAACGAUGUCAACUAGUUGUUGGGGAUUCAUUUCCUUAGUAACGUAGCUAACGCGUGAAGUUGACCGCCUGGGGAGUACGGUCGCAAGAUUAAAACUCAAAUGAAUUGACGGGGUCAUAGCUG